GACGAACGCUGGCGGCGUGCCUAAUACAUGCAAGUAGAACGCUGAAGAGAGGAGCUUGCUCUUCUUGGAUGAGUUGCGAACGGGUGAGUAACGCGUAGGUAACCUGCCUUGUAGCGGGGGAUAACUAUUGGAAACGAUAGCUAAUACCGCAUAACAAUAGGUGACACAUGUCAUUUAUUUGAAAGGGGCAAUUGCUCCACUACAAGAUGGACCUGCGUUGUAUUAGCUAGUAGGUGAGGUAACGGCUCACCUAGGCGACGAUACAUAGCCGACCUGAGAGGGUGAUCGGCCACACUGGGACUGAGACACGGCCCAGACUCCUACGGGAGGCAGCAGUAGGGAAUCUUCGGCAAUGGGGGCAACCCUGACCGAGCAACGCCGCGGGAGUGAAGAAGGGUUUCGGAUCGUAAAGCUCUGUUGUAAGUCAAGAACGAGUGUGAGAGUGGAAAGUUCACACUGUGACGGUAGCUUACCAGAAAGAGACGGCUAACUACGUG
rnacentral:rRNA from 1 species